ensembl:lncRNA
CAUGAAUCCUCCCUUAGUUACCCUGGGACUACCCUGCUGGGGGAUUCCCACCAUGUGUUUAUACACCUCUCUGCAUUCAAUAAUUAGUUCUUGUUCAUCUCUGGCUCUCGUCCACAGUGUGUCUUUUGUCCCCUUUUUCGUCUCCUCAUCCCCAAAGGGUCGCAGCGGGCUGCCCCUCCCUGACCGUGGUUCUGCCAGAGGGUGCUUCCUGUUAAAAGAAAUAGUCAGGACCCAGAUGAACCUGUGCUGGAAUUCAGUGUGGGCUUUCUACUUACAGGGUGGUGGGUCUCAGAGGACAAUUGCUACCCCUGUUGAAGUGAACAACGUGUGGAGUGCAACUGGCUUUGUGGCAUAGCUGGCUCUGGCCUUGGACUGUGUGUUUUUACUUUGUACCUAAAUGGGACACUGGACUUUUAACUACUAUUCAUUGUGUUUAUAAAUAAAAUUUUAGAAUUUUAUUGACUGUCAUCUUUUUGCCCACGGUUGGUCAGACCUAGAAUCUCUUUGUGUGUGUGUGU